GUGCAUCCUCUGCUGCUGCUGGAGGGGGCUUUUGUACUGGGGAAGCUUAUUUUAUUUUUCCGAAUGAAAAUAAGCUGCCCGGUAUGCCCGUGUACGCGUCAGUAAAACGCUUGCUUUGGUAGGGAAUUUAGUACUUAAAAGUAGGGGGUUUAUUUUAUUUAAGCGUGGAUGAGUCUCCAAUGACUCAAUAGUCACAACAAUGUCAAUAUUACAGCCUGGCAGGUGACCGCGUUGGAGAGAGGAGGGCGGCUGCCAGCAGGCAGCCCCCCGGGGAAAACAGGGGAGUUUCAGUGGUUUCUGGAGCCUGAGGAACAGGGAGAUGCCCUGAGCUAAGCAGGAGUUAAGCGCAGUCAUGCGGAGGCCUGGCUGUUACGAUUGAAGGUCGCUUCGUGAAUAUCGAUAGUUUCUGUAGGUAUUUUUAUAUCUAUAGAAAGAUAAAAAGUAAAAGUAGAAUAUAGAGCAUUGUGCAGGAGAAGAAGAACCCUUUAUGUAAGAUGUGACCUGAGGGGCAUCAUGCCAGGCUGUCCCUUCCAGAUUGGGAAGGAUUCAGUGUUUUGUAUGGCACGAUGGAGAGUUUUGAAAAGUAAGAUUUCCUCUUUGGUGCAGGUCCGAUGGGUGAGGCCUGGCAGCUUGUGCACUGCCACUGUGCUAACCUGCGUGCCUCUCCUUCCCUCCCUGCUCCGCAGGCACAGCACGGGAUCAGCAGGGAGGGGCGGCUCUGUCGUGGAGGAUCCAGGAGCUCGGCGUGCGUGUCUGAGCCUGCAGCUGCGAGCCGCAGCAGGACCCAAGGUCUGCACACGCCUGUGUACAGAAGAAUUGUGCGAGAACAGAAAAGUUGCAAUGGCAUUGCAGUUCCCUGCACAGAAAAUAGCCAGGGAGGUGAAGCGCGGCCCAGUGGUGCCGUUCGACUGCGCCCCGACUGGGAGCAUCGGGUUCAUUCCCAUUGUGAUCUGCAAAUGGCAAAUCAGGGUUGCUCUUUGUUAAAACCAAAAGCGCUCUCAGAAUGUUGAUGGAGGUGAUGAUUGCAGGGGCGAUGCUUCUGGAGAAUAGCUCCCCCAUCUUCCCCAGGGCCUGGGCAGAGAGAGGUGGAGCUCGGAGUCCCCCCAGUCCUCCCGCGGGUGCUGGCGUCUGCAGCGCCAUCGGGACGGGAUCCACGGCGCAGCUCCCUCCUCCAGAGGCCGAAAGCUCAGCCUCCAGUUUCGUGCAGGGUGAUCACCUUUCCAGGGCAAUACAAGCACUUCCCAAGAGCAGCUGGUGAAGAUGGCGCAGAAGCAAGGACAAGGGUGCAGUGAAAAGUUUGGUGCAUCGAUCCAGCUUCCGGACAUGGUAGGGAAGACACACCGUUUGCUAAAACACCAAACACGGUACUUUUCAUUCUUUGUGUUUUUCUGUGCCCCCGUUGUGAUCACCCCUGGAAGUAUUAUUUUCGAAAAACAUAUCUAGGAGAGGAAUCGUAACCUGCUUUGCGUCCUUCUGCCUGGAAGGGUUGUGACACAGGGAAGUGAGGAAGGGGCUGGCCGGGGUCAGCCUCUGCUGAGCCUCAGCUCUGGCUGCUGCUCCUGCUUCUCGGGUACAGCCAAAAGCUGUCAUGAUCAAAAGAGCAGGCAGCCCUUCUGUCCUGAGUCACAGGGGCCAUUUCUUCCUGAGUGACUCAAGAUGGGAAAUCAUUCUUGGAGCUUCAAAAGAAAGAAAAAAAAAAACCUCACGCAAUCAUUUUGAUCUUCUACCCUGCCCCACGGCAAGAAGAGUUUGGUGAUUUUGCUGCUCUGCUCUCUCAAGGGUGUUGCAGGCUGCGUAGCAGGGAGUGAAGCCCUUGUCGCUGCUCAUCAGACACUUUCCUACAGAAUUCUCCCUGCAGUGAUAAAAUUAGACUGGUGUUAGUGAGCUGCCAAGUAGAGCAGGACAGCACGAAGACUGAACGUGUAAGAAGAUGUGGGGUGCAAUGGAGAACCUGGCAGGAGCAUCCGACGCACACGUGCACGAGUUUUGCUUUUUGCUUGGAUUGAAGCUCAAAAGUUGUAAGGAAUUUGGGAAUGAGAUGGGACGUUUCAGAAGAAGAGGAAGGAGGAGAAGAAGUUGUUGUUACAGUCCUGGCAAAAUCCUUUGUUCUAGCUAAUAAAAGAAGUUA